CAACGGGAUAGCCCGACGGGGCGAAAAGCAAAACCGUGAUUGCCUGUCCGUUGUUUCAACUAAUAUCACGG
rnacentral:sRNA from 1 species